GACGAACGCUGGCGGCGUGCUUAACACAUGCAAGUCGAACGGAAAGGCCCUGCUUUUGUGGGUUGCUCGAGUGGCGAACGGGUGCGUAACACGUGAGUAACCUGCCCUUGACUUUGGGAUAACUUCAGGAAACUGGGGCUAAUACCGGAUAGGAGCUCCUGCUGCAUGGUGGGGGUUGGAAAGUUUCGGCGGUUGGGGAUGGACUCGCGGCUUAUCAGCUUGUUGGUGGGGUAGUGGCUUACCAAGGCUUUGACGGGUAGCCGGCCUGAGAGGGUGACCGGCCACAGUGGGACUGUGAUACGGCCCAGACUCCUACGGGAGGCAGCAGUGGGGAAUAUUGCACAAUGGGCGGAAGCCUGAUGCAGCAACGCCGCGUGCGGGAUGACGGCCUUCGGGUUGUAAACCGCUUUCGCCUGUGACGAAGCGUGAGUGACGGUAAUGGGUAAAGAAGCACCGGCUAACUACGUG
rnacentral:rRNA from 1 species